rnacentral:lncRNA from 1 species
CUUCGUUCUGAAUCCACGCCAGCUUCAUCGUGUUGGUUGGAAGGGCGUUUGGUGCUUCCCACCCACUUCAGCCUUCUGUCUUUGGGCGUGAGUGUGAGUGUAUUUUCGACAACUCAAACUGUUUGGUUUUAGUUCUAAUAGAAUUUUUGCAUUGUUGGGACCUAUUGUAGGAUAUACAAGUAUGCGACAUUCUAAUUUCCUUUUCUCGCUCAUUUCCAUGUCUAUAUCUAUAUGUAUCUAUCUCAUUAUUUUGAAUCUGUUAAUUCUUCAUUUUCUGUGAUUUUUUGCUUUAUAUGUUCUGUUGUUUGGCUCUCACCUUCACCAACAAAUAAGACUAAUGUCUUGCGUGAUAGCUGCAUGUUCACAUUGAUCCUACAUGAUCACUUUUCUAUUGUCUAAUUACAUCUGAUAUGGCCUAUUUUUGGACCAAAUUCCUCAUAAGGGAGGAUUCAGGUGUUUGCUUUUAAUAAUAAUAUAUAAAAGUUCAAAGUUAACUAGAUAGCAUUUACAUCACCCUUUUAAACUGGUACUUACCUUGCACUAUAAUAAUCUUAUUUCUACUUAUGUAUUUGAUUAGGGAUCUCUGCUAAUGAACAAUCUUCUUUGGUAAAUAUCAUUACUUAUUUGCACAAUUUACACAUGUUAUAGAUUGCAUAUAUGAAUGAAGUCCUGUAAAUUAAUAUACCUAAAUGUUGGAAUCAUGAGGCACCCCCUUCUAAUUUUAGUUGAAAAUCAUAAAUUUUUUGUUUGGAAUUUGUGCACUUAAUAUCUGCAGUUUUUAGAGGAGCCGAUCGCACUAGGACAAAGAGUCAAAAACCUAUGGUGCAACUUAAGCUAUCUUUCCAUGGAUUGGUGAUGAAGAAUACACUAUUGUGAUGUUGUUAGAGUCCGUGCCAGCAGACAAUGAGGCCGUUUGUAGAAACCAUCUUACUAGCAAAUAAUGAGCCUUCUGCUGAGUUUAACGGGAAAGGAGACAAUGAGCCUGGUGUUAUAACUAUCUACUGUCUAUGUAUAUUCUAUGUCUAUGUGCUAGGAAACAAGUGUCAAAUCGAUUUACCAGCUUGAAAUGCAUUACUAUGGAAAAUGAUAUUUAUUACACACACCUUAAGCAAAUAAAAACAAUAAUAUUGUCAUAUUAUACUGCAAACAUUGCGCAUGUAGAAUCACUUAAAUUUACUAUAUAUGAAUGUUAUAUCUGGACAGUUCUGUGCCCUCUUUGUGCGUCUGUGUGUGCUAUUUAUGUAUCAGCAGCUUAUACCUGAAAGUCUUAAAGUAAAUGGAUGACAAUGAAAGUCUGCUUUAUGUUAGUCAGCUACCUAAUUAUGAAUUUCCUUGUUUUAAUUUUUUCUGACAAUCUCUCUUUCCUUGAAUGUGGACGCCUGUCUAGGUGUGCCUUUCUGCAGAUAUUUCAUUGAUUAAUUAGUGAUUCUAUAUGGGUUGUGCAUCCUGUUUAUAUAUUGCGCAGUUUAUAGAUUGUUAAUGAGAUUCAAACUCAGCUUUGUGUCCAUCAACGAGUUCAGCUCCAGAAAGUUGCCUGAUUAUGAAACUAUUCAUUGUAAUUUUUUCUGAUGAGAUACCACUAUUCUAUGCGCUUGAAUGUGUAAAGUAGUCUAAGCGUAUAUUUUGAACAGCAUAUAUACUUGAAAUUUUAGGAGAAAUAACUCCCAACUCCAUAUGUAAAUCUAAUGGAAUUGGGCUCAGGCCUGAAAUUGAGAACGCAGCCUUCAAUAUUAUACUUCCAAUUAUGGGGUUUAGAGGUGAGUCUGUGCGUGGUGUUGUAAAUUAUAAAUCGGUGACUAAACUAUAUCUUUAAAUAAGGAACUUAAUGACCCUGUUCUAAAAAAAUCUCUAACUUCUCCCUUUUUACAUAUCUUUGAUCCCCAUUAUAACAACUUAUCCGUAAGAACUCUUAACGAUUCGUAAAAAUUGUUCGUACUUGAAUAGGUUUAAGCUAACCACAAAUUAGCUCUCAGAUUUGCUCCCUACAAAACUCGGCCUGCUUCACUGAGUUAAAACACUUACCAUUUACUAGAAGCUUUGAAGGUACUCCAGGCUUAUGUGGAAAGCCUUUGUCCAUUAUAAAGCUCCCAGGAAAGUAAUAUUGCAUCCAUUUCUACAGCAAUUGUUGGAAUCUGACAGCUUCAGACAUGCAAAAGGAAUUCAGGUAAGGCAUCACGACCUUUAAGAGAAUUAGAACCUAAUGAAUUCUUAUCUGUUUUUGCCUCUCUAGAUUGGCAGUAUUUAGUUUUACAUUUUUUCCCUCUUUCUAAAAAAUUGAUUAAUUUUAGCAUUGUCUUUUAAUAACAUUACGGCUUUUUGCUUUAACAGAGUUUAAGCACUAAAGUCUACUUGAAUUCUACUAUAACCACAUUAUGACAGUGAUAAUGUGUAAACAGCAAGAAUCUGUACAUGAUAUCCUAGGAAAUAUCUUGUAUACACAGUAGGAAAAUAUUCACAUAACCCAAUUUACCAUAUAGUACGAAAUUAUAACCUUUAAAUUGAGGGUGCACUUCAUUGUCAUGGCAUAUCAUAUUCCAGAUCCUGCGAAAUGCUUCAAGAUAAUGGGUAAAAACAAUUCUUAUCCUAUGCCAACCCUAUCACCCAAUUUUAG